rnacentral:lncRNA from 1 species
AGGCAUGACUUCAAGUGUCAGUUGUUACUGCAGCUGGGUAAGACUGUUGGUGGCUUCACCCUGGCAGUCUGCAUAGCACCCAGUUACUGUCUUAAUUAGUAUUAGAGGUAGCAUGCUUCCUGGUCAGUACCCACUUGGUUUCUCCAUAUCCUGUGACCAGUGUAUGUGGGACCUUCAGCAGUGGUCUUCAGCAGUGAGGCCUUACCAUGCAGUUUUGUUAGGCAAUCGAGAAGAACAGUGAUAAUAGUCUGUACUGUUUUGGGGAUUUCCAGAAUAUCUCCCACCACAAAUUUGAGGGCAGGUGUCCCACACCUCAUCGUUGGGCUUUUUGUUUGGCAUCCUGUGUCUCUGAGGUAAACAUGAUCCCCAGAGUAAAGUAACUCUAGUUAAACUCAUUGUUUUCAAAUGUUUUUGAAAACAUCCUUUGGGCUAGACACCUCUCCUGCAGCUUCAUCCUCUGCCUUACCUGCCUAUCCCUGUGUGCUUGCUGCCGUUGCCAUGUUUGAAGAAUACUAGCCAAUCACUAUGGAGAAGGUGCUUCCAUUUGGUUUGUUUGAUGUUUGCUCCUAUGAUAGUCAGGGUUUGUGCUUUUGUGGAUGUGUCACCCUUCAGACAUUAUAUCCUCACUGUAUCACACUGGAGGCAUAAUGCCACCCCUGAGAAGGUUGACACCGUUGUUAAGGCCGGCUUUUCUCUCUGUGUCUGUCUUGUCUGUCGGUUUUUCCUCCAUUUUUCAAAUAAAAACAAGCUCAUGGGAUAACCUUUCUUAGAUUUUUAUUACUUAUUUAUAAGUAGUAUUUACAAUUUUUUGGUUUUGGUUUUGACUAUACUUAAGUUUUUUGUUUUUGUUUUGUUUUGAUGGAUGGGCUUUUUUUGGUUUGCUUUUGAAACUGGGUCUCAGUCUAGCCCUGGCUAGGCUGGAACUCGAUGUGGAGCUCAGACUGCCCUCGGCUUCUGGCAAUCCUCCUGCUUCAGCCUUCCAAGUACUGGGAUGACAGCUGUGAGUCACCACACUACCUUCUCAAGUUUUGAAAAAUAUCUGUAGUCAAACUGAUGAGUCUUUCUUAUUUCUGACUGAGUCCUAGUUCGCCUGCUCCACAGCAGUGUGAGAGAACAAGCCAGUCCUCCUCCAGGACUUGUACAGCUUAUUCUUGUGAGUGGUCUGAGGUACAGAUCUAAGUUCAUGACUCUCGAAAUGGCUCUCCAGUCACUUUAGCAUCGUUUAUUGUCAAGUGCUUUUUCACGUGUUUCCUUUAGUUUGCACAAAGCUGCAUGUCUCCUUGAGCCUGCUCUUUACUUUGUUGUGUGGAUUCCUUGGUCUUUCUAUCUGAUCUGUCCAUUAUGUAGGCUUUAUGUUAGAAUAUAUCACCUAGAAGAACAUACCAUCGUCCCCUCUAGUACCUGAGAGUUUCCCUGGCUAUUCUAUUCAUUCAUUUUUCAAUAUGAAAUCCUCUUAUCAAUCAUCCACUUAAAAACUUAGUAUAUUUUGGAACUUACAUUAAUUUUAUGAAUUUAAUUACAGUGAGCUGGCAUUUUAGUGACAUUAGCUUGUUCUAUAUCAGAAAAUACAAGAGCUCUUAUUUGGUUGAGUUUUCAUUUGUUCCUCCUUUGAGAUGUUUGUAAAGUCUUCCUCUGAUGGGUUUUACACAUUUCUUAUUAUGAAACUUGCAUUUUUUCCACUUAAUAUUCUGUUGAGCAGGUCAGUACAUGUUGACCUAUUUUAUCUUGUAAAAUGGAUCCAGAGUAGUCUGCCGUGUCCUAAUUUAAUUUAACUUUGCCUCUGUUGAUGUAUGCUUGUUACUUUUAAUUUUUUCCUCUUCUAAGCAGCUAGAAUUAGAAUUCCUUAUUCAUAAACCAUCUGGAUUUUGGAGGUAAUAAAUGCUGCCAAGUUAUCCUCUCAAACCAUUUGAUAGUCAUGCAAACUUUAUUGCAUAUGUACAUUAUUACCAGAUCUCCAAACUUUUUAAAAAAAGGUUUACUUAUUUAUUUUCUAUGAAUACACUGUAGCUGUCUUCAGACAAAUCCAGAAGGUGGCAUGGAUCCUAUUACAAAUGGUUGCGAGUCACCAUGUGGUUGCUGGGAAUUGAAUUCGGGACCCCUGGAAGAGCAGUCAGUGCUCUUUACCACUGAGCCAUCUCUCGAGCCCUCUCCAAAAAUUUUAAAGG